GACUAGAACAAACACCCUUACAUCAUAGACGUAGUGUUUCAAGCUCUAAACCAAAGUAUGAGGAAGGGCUGAAUUCAACAAGAUACCUGCACCCCCAGUGAAUAGCUUAACUGAAAAAAUGAUGAUAGUUCUGCAAGGAGUUUAAUUUUUUCAAGUUGAUCACUAGCAAUUCCAGCUGGGUCCUGAGGAUUUCUGCCUGAUAACAAGAUCUUUGGAAGUGCUGCUUUCUACAUGACUAGGUUGAGCCUGAGACAGAUGGAAAAACUGUGGGUGCUGAAAAGCAGUCUCUGUAGAGAAACCAGCAGUAUAUAAAAGUUGGGUCACUACUAGGGAGGUUGACGAGACUUAGCCAACUGUUGACUCCUGUGCUGGAUUUAUCCCACCAAUUUUCUGCUGUGCUAUCAUAUUCCAUGGGAAACACAGCCUGUUUCUGCUCUAUCUGACAAUUUUUGUUAUCAAAAUGAUUUGAAUGUGAUGUCAUAGCAAGUGCUGUAGUACAAUACUGACAUGUUCUCUAUAUUAUUUUUAAUUUCAUUAACUCAAGAAAAAUAAUUCACUUUGACUGGCAUGAUUUUUUUUCCUCCAAACUCACAGAGCUUAUCACUCAUUGAUCUGCUAUCCUAUACAUAUUUUGUAUUUUGUUUAUUUAUUUUGUUUAGGGUACUCAUUCUGUUAUUUAGAAGGAUUGAAAAUUAACCUUACCAAGGAAGUAAUUACGAAGGUCAAAUGCCAAAAGACUGAUACCGAAUCUAAGUUGGAAGUUGUCCAUAAAAUUUUCUAAGCUUCCUGUAUUUCUGUGAAUUUAUUAGCUAAUUCAGCUGAAUCUGAAUGCAAAUCACCUGAACAGCUGAUAUAACAGCUGAAUAACUUUAAUCAAAAUUUAGAGUUUUCACUUGUUUGGUUUUGUUUGAUUUUAUUCCAACUCCAUAUUCUAUUUUAUUGUUAAAGAGACUUAAGUCCUCAUUAAUGGCCAUGUCUUUCCUCCCCUCCUUCAAUCUCCCUCUCUCCCCCCACAUAUAUAUAUACACACACAUAUACAUUUAUAUCUCUAAUACAUAUUUUGAAGAAAGAAGGGCUGAAACUCUAUUAUGGCUGCAGAGCUAUCUAAGGCUUGUUUACAGCUUCCUAGACAGCUGUGUACAGAUAACUAAGCAAAGCACGAAAAUCGAAGGAGACACGUCAGGCAAAGGGACCAUUCUGUUCCACUUUGAGUUUUAUCCUCCACUUCAUAGCUAAGUGAACUUGUCUCAGGGGAUAGUCUUGAAUUUGUGGGCUUAAACUUAUUUAUUGUGAAAAGACAAGCAAAAGCAAAAAGUUACCUGCAACAGUCCUCUUAAAAAAUAAAGACCUAAUUACAUACAAGCAAAGAAAAUACAGCUGAGACUAUGUGAAACAGAGGAUUUCUGUGCCAGAUGGUUUGAAAGACACUUCAUUGUUACUCUUGGUUUAUGUUUUGUAGGCUCAUACUCAAGGGUUUUGGAUCUUAUCUCCAUUCUGAAAGGACUAAAAAAUAUAUCUUGUCUGAAACUCCUGAAUUUGGCUUUCCUAAGUCUUUGUAACCACAAAAUCAACUGUCUAGUGUGACUUCCAGAUGACAUUGAAAAACCCUUCCUGGCAAAAGCAUUCCUGGAAAAGCUUCAGCCAAAACCUGGCAUAGGAUUAUGCCCAGAAUAUGGACUCAGGUUUGCUGAAAUGCAGCCAGAAUUUGGAUCAAGAUUGCUGAAAGCUUUGAAAAUUAUUUCUAGUUUGUUAGGAAAAUGUUGCCCAGCUGUAGUCAUUACAGAUGCAUUGUAGCAAUUAUUAUAUCCAGUGAAGUAGUGUCCUGGGGAUAUGGAAAGGAUGGAGGGUACCUUUUCAUCUUGUAUACAACAGCAGGAUGGGAAUCCAAACUCUAUUUAGCAGAGUACUAAUGAAAGGGACUUACUAUUUUCUCAGCCAGAACAGAGGCCCAAAGAAAGCCUUCUUGCUGGUUCAACAGCUGGUUCCCUGAGAUAUUUUCUCCAGACAGGUUGCAUUUGUAUCCAGUGCAACAAAACCACUCAUGUGGCAAAUAUGUCUUAGAGGGUAAGGAGGCCUGUGUUUUUAAAGGAAAUGAGAAUACUUUUGUUUAGUAAUUGUAGCCUGUAUCACUGCAUUUUUCUUAUUUCAUUCUCUAUUGUGCAAUAUUUAUCAAGUUUUCAUCAUACAUCAUUACAAAAUAAGAUGUGAGCAAAUUAUUAUUAUUGUUGUGUAUCUGUGCUCAAAAGUUGUUUUGUAUUUAUUUAUUUAUUUUUUAGGGUUUGAAAGAAAUCUCCAUAUAAUUUAUAAAUCCUUGAUUUUCUACAGUAUUUUCCAUGGCAUGUUGAGGUGGAAUCAUAGCAAUGCUGGUUGUAAGAAAUAUCUGGAGCCAGGAUUAUCAUUAACAUCAGGAUCUGUGGAUCAGGCUAUGAGGGCUUGACACGCUAAAAUGUGAAACUCUCCAUGGACAGGGUAGCUACAGAUAAGCUAUGUACUGCCUUCCUAGUGAUGUUAUUUAUCUUAGUGUCCAAUCUGAAUCUCUCAUGCCAGGCUGCUGACUCUUGUUACAUAUCGUGCCACAGAGUAGGACAGGUUGGCUCCAUCAUGCCUGCAGUUUUCUACCAUAUCAAUCCUAGCGUAUGCUAGUCAUAUUCCAACCAUUAUUAUUGCAUCUUUUGGUUAAAACUUUCCUACACUACACCACUGUACUCUGUUUCUUUCUUUGUUUUUGUUUAUGACCUUUUCAUUCGGUGAAGGGAGAAAAAAAUGGAAGAUGCAAGAAAAAAAUUAAGAAAAUGUUGGAAUUUCCUUUAAAAAACAAGGUGACUAAAUUCUGAAUGCUCAAAACAAACAAACAAACAAAAACUCCCAACCAUUUACUUUUGAACAUCAGUUUCAUCUUGCUACCAAAAUUCCUUAAGUAAUCGAACAGUGUGCCUUGACUGUUUUUUGAACAGAAUUUAUGCUUAUGUUUAUUUGACAGAUCCAAAUAAAUACAAAUAACAUUAAAUUCUGCAUACAGAGGCUGAGUGCAAGGAAAAGUUUCCCAGAAAUGAAAUAAGUUUAUUUGGGACUGCUCAUAACAUAGUUUGGGUCAAUUAAAGUUUGACUACACAAAGGCAUGAAUUCACUCUUCCAUUUCUACACAGAGCAAAGACAGAUGUCUUAAAAGGUUGUUUCCAGCAUGGACUACUUCAGGAAAUACACGAUACAUAUCAACUGAUACAUACCAAGCUGCUUGUGUUCUGAAAGAUUAUUAUAUCACAAAUGUAGUAUUUAUCUUACCAGUAUUAGUAUGUGAAGAAAUUAGUAUUUUUGUGUUAGUAGCCAUGAAAAAGCACUAAGGUAGAUAUUUUUUCAGCUGAUUAUACCCUGAAAGAAGCUUGUGUCAAGAUUCCCUCUGGUAACCCCAUAACUAAAGGGCCUUAUGUUAACCACUUUUCCUAUUCACAACCAUAAGACAAUAAUUUCCCUCUGGACCAGACUGCUCUAAAGAAGAGAAAGAAAAUACACUGUUUCACUUGAUCUUUUUCCAUCAGACAGGAAUCAGGCAGCCAAAGGGGAAAGUGUGAAACCUCCCGGUCUGGAUUUUCAAGUGCUAUUUGUUGAUGAGACCAACAGAGCUAUGUGCCUGUGCCAGCUGCAUUUCUCUUUGUGUGGUCUCCCAUGAAAGGUAACUGUGU